GACGAAGAGGGCUAGCGUUGUUCGGAAUUACUGGGCGUAAAGCGCGUGUAGGCGGUUAUCCAAGUCAGGUGUGAAAGCCUUGAGCUCAACUCAAGAAAUGCACUUGGUACUGGGUGACUAGAGGACCGGAGAGGAUAGUGGAAUUCCCAGUGUAGUGGUGAAAUACGUAGAGAUUGGGAAGAACACCAGUGGCGAAGGCGGCUAUCUGGACGGUUUCUGACGCUAAGACGCGAAAGCGUGGGGAGCAAACAGG
rnacentral:rRNA from 1 species